AUCCGGCUGACAAGUCCCAAAUAGGAUGAAACGCGCUUCCUGGAU
rnacentral:hammerhead_ribozyme from 1 species